AUACGUAGGGAGCGAGCGUUGUCCGGAAUUACUGGGUGUAAAGGGAGCGUAGGCGGGAUGGCAAGUCAGAUGUGAAAACUAUGGGCUCAACCCAUAGACUGCAUUUGAAACUGUUGUUCUUGAGUGAAGUAGAGGUAAGCGGAAUUCCUGGUGUAGCGGUGAAAUGCGUAGAUAUCAGGAGGAACACCGGUGGCGAAGGCGGCUUACUGGGCUUGUACUGACGCUGAGGCUCGAAAGCGUGGGGAGCAAACAGGAUUAGAUACCCUGGUAGUCCACGCUGUAAACGAUGAUUACUAGGUGUGGGGGGACUGACCCCUUCCGUGCCGCAGUCAACACAAUAAGCAUUCCGCCUGGGGAGUACGGCCGCAAGGUUGAAACUCAAAUGAAUUGGCGGGG
rnacentral:rRNA from 1 species